UAAAGGCCUACCAAGGCGACGAUCUGUAGCGGGUCUGAGAGGAUGAUCCGCCACACUGGGACUGAGACACGGCCCAGACUCCUACGGGAGGCAGCAGUGGGGAAUAUUGGACAAUGGGGGGAACCCUGAUCCAGCCAUGCCGCGUGUGUGAAGAAGGCCUUUUGGUUGUAAAGCACUUUAAGCGAGGAGGAGGCUUACCUGGUUAAUACCUGGGAUAAGUGGACGUUACUCGCAGAAUAAGCACCGGCUAACUCUGUGCCAGCAGCCGCGGUAAU
rnacentral:rRNA from 1 species